GGAGUAUAGCUCAGUGGUAAAGCGCGUGCUCAGCACACACGAAGUCCUGGGUUCAAUCCCCAGCACCUCCA
rnacentral:tRNA from 1 species